rnacentral:rRNA from 1 species
GACGAACGCUGGCGGCGUGCUUAACACAUGCAAGUCGAACGGUGAAGCGGGUGCUUGCACUCGUGGAUCAGUGGCGAACGGGUGAGUAACACGUGGGUAACCUGCCCAUCACUCUGGGAUAAGCACUGGAAACGGUGUCUAAUACUGGAUACGACCAACCCUUGCAUGGGGUGUUGGUGGAAAGAUUUAUCGGUGAUGGAUGGACUCGCGGCCUAUCAGCUUGUUGGCGGGGUAAUGGCCCACCAAGGCGACGACGGGUAGCCGGCCUGAGAGGGUGACCGGCCCCACUGGGACUGAGACACGGCCCAGACUCCUACGGGAGGCAGCAGUGGGGAAUAUUGCACAAUGGGCGAAAGCCUGAUGCAGCGACGCCGCGUGAGGGAUGACGGCCUUCGGGUUGUAAACCUCUUUCAGCAGGGAAGAAGCGAAAGUGACGGUACCUGCAGAAGAAGCACCGGCUAACUACGUG